GGGCCUGCCCAGUGAUAUUUCAACGGCCGCGGUACUCUGACCGUGCAAAGGUAGCAUAAUCAUUUGCCCUAUAAUUAAGGGCUAGUAUGAACGGUCUAACAAGAAUGGAACUGUCUCUUUUAAAAUCCUUAGAAUUUGGUCUUUAGGUGAAGAAACCUAAAUUAUAUUGAUAGACAAGAAGACCCUAUCGAGCUUUAAAACAAUUAGUUAAACAAAUAGAUAAAACUAACUUUAGCUAAAAAUUUUGGUUGGGGCGACUAAGGAACAAACAAAGCUUCCUUAAUAAAUUCUACACUAAUAAGUAAUGAUCCAAAAUAUUUGAUUAAUAAAAUUAGUUACCGUAGGGAUAACAGCAUAAUCUUCUUCAAGAGUUCUUAUCGAAAAGAAUGUUUGUGACCUCGAUGUUGGACUAGGAUAUCCAAAAGAUGCAGAAGUCUUUAAAGGUUGGUCUGUUCGACCAAUAAAAUCCUACGUGAUCUAUCU
rnacentral:rRNA from 1 species